UAUUUUGGUUAUUUCUUUUUUGGGGGGGUGGGAAAUCCCCCCAAAUAUUUGAACCUGGCUACAUGUUGUGUACCUUUUUUUUUUGAAGCCUUCAGAUAGAAUAAGCCUGCCAUUUCUUGCACAAAUUUAUUAGAUUUGUUUUGUUUUUGUGGGGGAGGGUGUAGGCCCAAGUGGGGAAAUGGGACUGUUAGGUUGAAUUAACAUUACAAAAUGAUACAGGGCCAGAUCUCAGUUUUGCAUAUUAUUUUUCAGGGCAGGUCUGUACUGUGUGUAGUGCUGUUUACAUGGCUAAAUUUAGGUUGUAAUGAUUAUUUUAAAAAUUUACACAGAUAUGAAUAGCAGUGUUAACUGUUAGCCAUAUUGCAUUAAUUUCCAGACAGUUUGGAGCUCUUGGAGAGCCAGGGCCAAGGCCAGUCAAGAGCAUUUGCAGUCUGACACACCACCCCAUCCCUUUAAGGAAGGAGAAACCAGUUCUCUAGACUCCACAUGUUCACUCUGCAAGGCCAGCUUUGGUCAAGCUGCCACCAGGGCCUGAGGAGCUGACUCUGUCCUACCUAGUUCCACUAGAGGACCCUUUUGGUAAUUUCCCAUUAAAAAAUAUCCUCAAAAAGUUGUACUGCAAGGUGGGUGGCAGGAGCUUGUACAGUUCAGCUGCCAACACUUCGGAACAGAUUUAAAAGGGAAUGUUUUAAUAAAAGUUACAAAAAAAGUAAGUUUCAGUUAAGCCUGGGGAUGGGAUGUAGCUCAUUUGGUAGAGUACUUGUAUAGCAUGCAUGAGGUCCUGAGUUUAAUAAGCCCAGCAUAUCAGAAAAAUAGCAUUUAGGAGGUAGGAGCAGGAGAUCAAGACCAGCUGUGGCUUUCUCAAAAAUAAAGCAAAACAAAAUAUGGUGUUCAAAGCCAGAAAAUGUUUGAAUAACAAAGUAAACAACAUAGUACUUAAUCACAACCCAAAGUAUUAAAGGAACCAGAAGCUAGGGAGAUGGCUCAGUGGGUAAAGUGUUUUCUGGGUGAGCAUUAAGACCUGAGUUCAGCAUGUUCCUAGUCAUUCUGACUGCUUUUCCGUUUACCACAUUGAGAUAUUACUAGAAUGUUAGUAAGGCAUUUGUGUUGAGUUUUCAAGACAGGGAUUCUCUGUGUAACAUUCAGUUCUGCCUGUCCUGGAAUUUGCUUUGUAGACCAUACUGUCUUCAAACUCACUGAAAUUGUCCUUCCUCUGCCUCCCAAAUGCUGGGAUUAAAGGCAUGCACCCCCCAUCAGUGGCAGUCAUUGAUAUUGAGUAAGAUAGGAAUUUGAUAUUUUACCAGAAUGCUGAGAAUGAAUUCAGAGAGGUUAGUCUUAUCCUCACAAUUCUGUGACUGCUGAUCUGAGUGUGAGUAAUUAUUUUGUUCUGCAACAAAAUAAUUCCUAUUUUGGGACAAUUGGUUUGACAGAGUCUGGAUGACUAUCUCUGUACUAGUUUCUUUGACAUGUGAGUGUCCUUGAGAUUUUCUGUUUGUAUAUCAGUUACUCCUGCCAUUGUAAGACUUGCCGUUGAAUUUUUGCAUAUCUCCUUAUAUACAACAAGUAGAUUGAUUUGCUCCUGCAAUUGUAAAAAAAAAACUCUAAAUAUUCAAGUUAUGGUAAAUUUUAAAACUGAUAUAACAUGAUGUUAAACAUUCUAAUUCAUUGGCAUAAUUUAGCUAACACUGAAAUAGAUGCAAGAUGAUUGUUGAUAAAGUAUUAUGUUUUACUUCAAACCAGAACAUACUUUUAUUGUACUUCAAUUUUGGUUUAUUUAGUAAAAAUACCUAGAUAAAAUGUAUGUGUUAAAGUUUUUCUUUUAUGUUCACAUUUGGGUAGGUUAGAAACAAGGGGCUAUUAUUUCAAAAAAAUAAAAGUAGAAUUUGUGUAGUAUAGAGCAUAAUUUUAUUGAAUUAAUGUGCCUGUCCUUUCGAUGAGUACUUUCUGUGUACCAUAAUCACUAUGGAAUUUUUUUUCUUUUUUCUUUUAUAUGGUAGUCAUAGUUAAAUGUUUGUCAGAGAAGCUUAUGUUAACCUGCAUAACUGAAAAUUUCUUUGUCAUGAUGGAUUCCGGAAAAACAUCACUUUGUUAUCUAGGAUAGAAUAUUCUUUUACAUUGAUCUACAUGUAAUAGAAUAAUGGAACAUAUUAAUUUAAUCUUACAGAGAUUGCAUUUCAAAAUCAUUAAAUUACUAAGAUGAUUUUCA